GCUGGUUUAGGUGAGCAGGUCUGUGCUUUGAAGCGCUGCAAAAAGAGCACUGUGGGAGGCCUAGCUCCUGGGGCCCUGACUAUUGGUGGUUUACCUGACCUGAUGAGGAAAAAGGACUCUGGCUGUUUGCAAGGAGGCCAGAGAGCCUAAUUCAGCAAAACAGGGAGAGGGAACCCACGCAAGCUGAGCAGGAGAGGCUCAGAGAAAUCCCAGUACAUCAUGUGGUAACCCAGAAGAGGAGUCCAAUCCAUCACAGUAGCAUUAUCAAUAAUGCAGAAAAAUUUAUGCACUGAGCUCUGAAAUCUUCCUUGCUACUUUCAUCAUUAACCCCUUCAGUCACUGUAAUGGGGCUGAACUUGGUGUACUUUUUUGUCAAUCAAGGCAGCAACUCAUAUAGCAAGCGUCUACAAUUGGUGGAGUGAGGUCAUCUUGAUGAUCCAGGUGCAGAUAUGGGAUGAUGGAUCAUAUCCCCAUGCUGACAUCACCACAACCACAGUACGCUGCAGGCCCUCUUUAGAAGCAUGACCAACCUACUCUCCAUUCCCAUUGACUUAAAUGGGAACCUGGAGUCAGGGGGGAGAGGCUCGGGGUGCAGGGGAGGAAUUUCUCAUGAUGGCCUUCUCUAAGGAGGGAAGCUCUGCUCAGCAACCCAGACACAUGUGUAUGCAGUCAAGAGGGCAUUAAUGUGCAGGACUAUGAGGACCAUUUGCAGGAGUGUGAAGUGAGUGCAAAGCGGGUGUAAAGAGAUACCAUUCUGACUUAGUGCCAAUCUAUACUCCGCACUGCUGAAAAUGACUACAGAAAACACAAGGCAAUGAAGAAUCAGCCCCACAUACCCGUGGUGAUACCACCCUCAUCACAUGGCAAAAUAUUGCUGGCACUUGGAAAGAACACCAUCUUGAUCACAUCUACAGCAAAAUAUUCACAGAAGAGUUUCUUGAAUGAGCGGAGCUUUUUUCCCUUUACCUGCAAACACUUUGUUUUUUUGGUUUUUUUACAGGUUUUUUCUGAAGUUAUUUGGUAAAUGGCUUGUGAACAUGGCUCAGCAUAUGGACUGCUCCUGAUUUAACAGUUAAGUGUUUAGCUGACUCCUGCAGCAGCCACUCAGACUGGAUUUUGACAAGCUGUCCCACGUUCCAAAUACAUGUAUAAUUAUGGAAAAAAUUAUGUAGGAGUAGGAAACCAUUUCACAAUGGCUACCUAUUACAAUGAAACUGACAUUCACUGCAAAAAUGGCUUAGAUAUUUGAUGGUCUUAAUUUGCUAUUGUCUUUGUGAUUAGACACAUGCUAUUGUUUCUGAUUCCCACGUGCACAAACAAGUCUCUGACAACCAUGUAAAUGCUUGUCUGCACCUGUUCACUAUACUUUCACCUUCUGUACACAUUCUUGCUAACAAAAUAUUUCUGUGGACAUACACUUAAGCUAAAUCAAUACAAGACAGCUGUAAGCCAAUUUAAGUUGAUUCCUUACUAAAACUAAAUUGAUGUGAGCCGAUUGGCUCUCCCUUGUUAUCCAAUAUUUAUAGUUUGUACUACAGCUGAUC